AGGAAGUAGGUUUCAGUUGCUGUGAAAAGGGAUGUCAUGGGAAGCCAGUGAGGUAGUCAGAGUAAACAUCAGUCUCCAAAGAUAACUACAUCCCUUCUUCCCAUCAACAAUGGCUCCAAAGAAAAUGGGAUCCAUGAAGAACAAGACCAAGAGCCACAGGAUCUCUUUGCAGGGUCUCACUCUGUUGCCCAGGCUGGAGUGCAGUGGUGUGGUCAUGGCUCACUGCAGCCCCGACCUCCCAGGCUCAAGUGAUCUUCCCACCUCAACCUUCUGAGUAGCUAGGACCACAGAUGCCACAGUGGAGCUAUCCUUGGACAGCACACAAAAUAAUCAGAAGAAGGUGCUAGCCAAAACACUCAUUUCUCUUCCUCCUCAGGAAGCCACAAAUUCUUCGAAGCCCCAGCCAACCUAUGAGGAGCUAGAGGAAGAAGAACAGGAGGAUCAAUUUGAUUUGACAGUCGGUAUAACUGAUCCUGAGAAGAUAGGGGAUGGUAUGAAUGCAUAUGUAGCCUACAAAGUUACAACACAGACAAGCUUACCAUUGUUCAGA
rnacentral:lncRNA from 10 species